UCGAAUGUUUGGUUCUUUCAGGUGCUGAUGCUGGCAAAACAUUCGCCUUGCACUACUGCGUUCACAUAACAUAAGCGGGGUGCUGUCCCAAGAUGAGCAAAAUUCCAAGAAAUCAUCUGAUCAAUCAUGUUCACAUGCUUGAAUCGAUGGGGAAAAGGACGAAGUGACUCAGACGGGAAUGGCUACGAGAUCACAUGUGGGCAUCGAAGGCGAUGAUUGGUACCCUUCGCGAGCGUGGAUUCAAUAGGAGGGUCCAUCUCUUGCUAAAGGCUGUCCCCAUAUUCGC
rnacentral:lncRNA from 1 species